UGUACAACUAUUAUGUAUCCAUAACAAUUUAAAUUUUUUUAUUUGUUUCCCUGCCUAGAGGCUAUAAAAACUCUAUUUCACCACCCCAAGUGUCUUUAUAAAUCUCAACCACAUAUUUUUAAAUGUUGUGCCAUUGGUCUCAAGGAUGAAUCAGAUACAAAAGUAUUCAUGCCAAGAUGUAAACUCACCAUCAUCACUAGAGAAAAGAUAUCCAAGGAUAUGUCCUAGUAAUAGGAGGUCAUUAGCCUUUUUCUAAGCUGAAGACAGUUUAUUCUCACAAUCUUCAAGCCAACCUGUGUUAUCACCUAGGGUCUUACCCAUAAUACUCAGUAUUUUUUCUCUAUUUAGGGACCUCCUGGCACUCCAGGUCCUCAGGGUCUUCUUGGUGCCCCUGGUAUUCUGGGUCUCCCUGGCUCGAGAGGUGAACGUGGUCUACCAGGUGUUGCUGGUGCUGUGGGUGAACCUGGUCCUCUUGGCAUUGCCGGCCCUCCUGGGGCCCGUGGUCCUCCUGGUGCUGUGGGUAGUCCUGGAGUCAACGGUGCUCCUGGUGAAGCUGGUCGUGAUGGCAACCCUGGGAACGAUGGUCCCCCGGGUCGCGAUGGUCAACCCGGACACAAGGGAGAGCGCGGUUACCCUGGCAAUAUUGGUCCCGUUGG
rnacentral:sRNA from 1 species